rnacentral:rRNA from 1 species
CAUGCAGGCGGUUAUACAAGUAGGAUGUGAAAGCCUGGGGCUCAACCUCAGAACUGCAUUCUAAACUGUGUGACUAGAGUAUUGCAGGGGGAGACGGAAUUUCAGGUGUAGCGGUGGAAUGCGUAGAUAUCUGAAAGAACACCAAAGGCGAAGACAGUCUCCUGGGCAAAUACUGACGCUCAUAUGCGAAAGCGUGGGUAGCAAACA